UCCCAAGUGGCUCAGUGGUGAAGUAUCUGCCUGACAGUGCAGGAGACACAGGUUCAAUCCCUGAGCUGGGAA
rnacentral:tRNA from 1 species